AGGAAUGUAUGGCGAAAGCUGGUUGCAUCUAAAAAGGUGCAAGAUUGAUUCUAUUGAAUAAAGUUCUAGAUAGGUUAUGAUGAUGACAUUUCCUGUCUAUGUGUCUUGACUAAAUUACGUGCCAGCAGUCGCGGUAAUACGUAGAAGACUAGUGUUAUUCAUCUUUAAUAGGUUUAAAGGGUACCUAGACGGUAAAUCAAGUCCAAAAAGGGUACUAAUUUGCUAGAGUUUAAUGUGAGGGGGCACUAAAGUACUGAUAAGUGUAGAGAUGAAAUUCUGUGAUACAAUAUAAGGACAGGUAAAGGCGAAAGCAUCUCAUUAUGUAAUAACUGACGUUGAGGGACGAAGGCUAGGAGAAGCAAAAAGGAUUAGAUACCCAAGUAGUCUUAGCAGAAAAUUAUGAAUGUCAUAGGAUGGAGAUAGUGGAUAACAAUUUUUUUUCUAUAAAUGAAAGUGUAAGCAUUCCACCUCGAGAGUAAUUUGGCAACAUUGGAACUGAAAUCAUUAGACCGUUUCUGAAACAAGUAGUGAAGUAUGUUGUUUAAUUUGAUGGUCCGCAAAAAACCUUACCACAAUUUGAAUAGGAGUUUUUAUUUUAUACAAGCGCUGCACGGUUGUCUCCAGUUAAUGUCGUGAGAUCUUGGUUAGUUCCAUUAAAUUAACGUAAACCCUUACUUUAUUUAUAUAUAGAGUAGUUCACCG
rnacentral:rRNA from 1 species